CUAUGAGUUUCAACAUGAUUAUCCCUUCAAAUCAUGAGUAUCAAAGCUUUGUGUUUGUUUUAGAAGUCAACUCUAGACACAACUGUUCCUAAUCACAAGACAUAAUUAAAAGCAAAACAAGAGAAAUGGAAUUUCAUCAUUCUUGGAGUACAUGAUCAUGAUUCCAGGUAUUGCCUAGUUUUCAUAGCUAAGAUCAUUUGUUCUUCAUGGAAUUUUGUGGAAAGGCUCACGUAUAUGUAACAGAUGCUAGGCUAAUGAAAAGAUGAAAGAAUUUAUGAAACUAAGCUAAUAUAAAUAAGAAAUGGAAGAAAAGGGAAUUAAAAGAAAACAAACAAAAGAACAAAUAGAGAAUAAGAAAGAAGUUACUAACUUCAAUUGUAUGCAGAGAGGGAGAGCAGAGCUGGUGUGAAGAAUUAGUGAGGAGAUGGUUGCUAUUUAUAGGAGAGUUUGAAUGAUUUGUGUGGACAAUUAGGAGACCACAUUUUCACUUCCAUUUGUGUAGAAAGUUAAACCACGUUUUUACUUUCACUUAAGCCCACGUUUUCACUUAUACUUGUGGAGGAAAAUUAGGCCACCAUUUCAUGCAUAUGUGUUAUUCUUAAACAUUCAUUCUUAUCUCUUAACUUUUAUUUAAUUUUUCAUUUUAUUUUAAUAACAUGAAUGAUAAAAUUAAUGACACUAUCUUUACGUAGAUAUUUUUGUGAUCUCAAAAAUAUUUUUCUUUUCUUUUUCUGGGAUAAAAAUUUAUACUAUUGAGUAAACUACUAUUCGAAAUUCGGUAGAAUUUUAAGCCCAAACUUUUAUCAUAGCCUACUAAAAUAUUUUAUGAUUGAUUUCUAAAAUUACUUUUGUUAAACUCACAGUCUAGAAAAAAAUAUUAAUUAUCAG
rnacentral:lncRNA from 1 species